GCUGGGUGUGGUGGCCCGCGCCUGCAGUCCCAGCUACUGGGAGGCUGAGGCGGUAGCAUUGCUUGAGCCCAGGAUGUCGAGGCUGCAGUAAGCUGAGAUGGUGCUACUGCACUUCAGCCUGGGUGACAAAGUGAGACCCUGUCUCAA
rnacentral:SRP_RNA from 1 species